AACAAUAAAUAAAUAUAUAAUAUUAUAUAAGGAAAGAGAAAGGGUUUCCACCAUUUUCUCCAUUGAGGCUGAAUAGGUUCACAAACACCAAUAAGAGAAAACGCUAGCUCCUGGAACUGAACCGAAAGCAGAUGCAACCGACUCCUGGCGGCAGCAGCAGCUCUACUGGUGACGCUGGUGGUGGUGGUGAAGUGAGUCGAGGUGGACUCGCCCGCUUCCGCUCCGCUCCAGCCACCUGGUUAGAAGCCCUUCUUGAGGAAGAAGAAGAGGACCCUUUAAAGCCUAACCAGUGCUUGACUCAACUACUCACUGACAAUUCAACAACACCCACCACUCGAAAUUCUGUGCCUUUUCCUAACUCAGCGGAUCCCGCUGGGUUGUUUGAACCUGCCUGUUUUCACAGGCAAAACAGUUCUCCUGCUGAUUUUCUUGGGAAUAAUUCUGCUUCUGCCUCUGAUGCCUACUUCUCUAACUUUGGAGUUCCAGCAAAUUAUGACUAUUUAUCGCCAACUGCCGAUGUCUCUCCCUCGAGUAAGCGGGCUAGAGAACUUGAUACGCAACACCCACCAACAAAGUUUCAGUCUCAGUUGAAAGGAGAGCAAAGUGGUCAGAUUUCUAGCGGGUUAUACAAUUUGAUAGAUGGGGAUAUGGAGAAACUUUUGGAGGAUUCCGUACCUUGCAGGGUCCGUGCCAAGCGUGGCUGUGCUACUCAUCCUCGAAGCAUUGCAGAAAGGGUUCGGAGAACGCGGAUUAGUGACCGGAUCAGAAAGCUUCAGGAGCUUGUACCCAACAUGGAUAAGCAAACCAACACGGCAGACAUGCUAGAAGAGGCCGUAGAGUACGUUAAAUAUCUUCAGAGACAGAUUCGGGAACUCACAGAGCAUCAAAGGGAAUGCAAAUGCAAAACUAAAGAGUGACUGGUACCUAAAUAUUGGCUACCUAGUGCUUAGUGUAAUUAUCAGCUUUAUAACCGUCCUGUCAAAGUACAUUAUGGUUGUUUCUGAUAAAGUUAUCUCGUAGAUCCAGUUGUUUCUGAUAAAGUUGCCUCGUAGAUCCACAUUGUAUUUACAACACCUGCUAUGUCGCAUUCUUUUCUGCAAUACGUAGAUGUGGCUGUUCUGAAGCUACAAUUACUCAAGAGUUCACGAUCUGGAUCUCUGCUUCACUUUCGCUUGUACUGCUCCUCAAAGAUCACCUGUUUCAUAUGAUAUCGAUACUCCCUGGAGUUCAAAGGUCAGAAAAGAGUUGGAACAACACUUGUUUGGUCACUUGGUCUGCUGAAUCUGUUGAAUAUGUGACUGAGCAAGUCUCAGUUGUGGUUGUAAUUGUAUAACAAUGGGAAACAAGAGUGCAAUACAUAAAUGUGACAACUUAGUUAGAGCUUUGGUUAUUCUGCUGCAAUGUCUAGAUAACGUGAUUUGGCUGAAAACUGAUUAGUUGAUUAAAGACUACAAUUACUAUAAUGUUUAUGAUAUAAAACAGUAAUAUUUUUGGAAUUGUAGUUAAUUUA